UGCAGGUUCAUGCACCUAGAAUAGGAAAAACCACAAGCAAGAUACUACACUAAGGAGCUGCCAGCAAGGUCAUGGAGGUUGAUUUACAACCUGAAGCUGUCCAGUGGGUUAUAAGAAACAGGGGAGCACAAUAGAUCUUCCCAAGUCGAGGAGCAGAAGGCCUUGCAGCUGCCUUUUUAAUCCCUAUCCCUACAUGUCGGAUAUAUGUGGGCUUUGGGUUAAAAGUAAAUGUCCAAGUGUCAACCUUGCAUGGCCCAUCCCCUCUUCUCUGAAGGCCACCUAUCGACACUUUAUAUGACUGAAAAUUCUCAGUCUACCUGGCCCAUUGAUGCUGGUACUUUCUUUUAAUCAUACUGUUUAAUCAAAGGGCAAGAUUGCAGUGGUCAGAUCUGGAGGUUGGGACAUAGCCACCUUGCCCGCCUUUUUUGACCCUCCAGACCUACUUCCUCUAUUAAAAUUUACAGUUUUUUAAUUACUUAUUGCCUUAUGGAAGGUAAAGUUUAAGGUUGGUUCACAACACUUCGAAGUUAAGCUAAUUACUUGAAACAACAUGCACUAUAAUCAACAAUGAUGCUGAAAAAAUGCAAGAACAAAGUUUUAAUUAAAUCAAUCACAUUGUUUUGUUGUUUUUGUUUAGUAUGCAAUGCAUGAGUACCAUGCGGCAAAGAAUGGUAUGCAUGACCGAAAGUAGUACAUAAAGUAUAAUUAAUUAAUAAAAAUGACAAAUCAUUACUCAUUCAGCUUCACAAUUGUUAAUACUUCUAUCUGGUGAAAUUAUUGACGUCAUUUCAAAACAACAGUUCACCACUGUUAGAAAUAAAGUAAAUUAUAAUUUUAAUAAAUGUAAAAAAAACAAGUGUUAUGAUUCAAUAACUGAACAACCAAAAAAAUGCCAGCUAAAAGAAAUUGUUAAAAAUCAAAACCAACCACAUUGCUUUGUUGUAUGUAACGCACGAGUGCCAUGCAGGGCAGCAUGGCUAACAUGCCAUAAAUUUGGCAUUAGACGAUACCAUUCUCAACAAUGCAAGUAAUGUCAGAAGAUACCUCAUCGAUUACUGGAUCGUCUUCGUCAUCGGACAUCAUAGCAGUUGGUCAUCAGCACAAUCCCCGAUCACACGGUCAUCGAGCAGAUGAAAAUGUAAUCACUCCACGUUUCUUAACCUUCAACCUAGUCAACAAAAAUCGAACACCAAAUGGAUGAAA